GAGGUGAUCUAUCCUGUGAGGUCAUGUUGU
rnacentral:piRNA from 1 species